rnacentral:rRNA from 1 species
AUUGAACGCUGGCGGCAUGCUUUACACAUGCAAGUCGAACGGCAGCACGGGGGCAACCCUGGUGGCGAGUGGCGAACGGGUGAGUAAUAUAUCGUAACGUACCCGGAAAUGGGGGAUAACGUAGCGAAAGUUACGCUAAUACCGCAUAUGCCCUAAGGGGGAAAGCGGGGGAUUCGCAAGAACCUCGCGUUUUCGAAGCGGCCGAUAUCGGAUUAGCUAGUAGGUGAGGUAAAGGCUCACCUAGGCGACGAUCCGUAGCUGGUCUGAGAGGACGACCAGCCACACUGGAACUGAGGCACGGUCCAGACUCCUACGGGAGGCAGCAGUGGGGAAUUUUGGACAAUCGGCGCAAGCCUGAUCCAGCCAUGCCGCGUGAGUGAAGAAGGCCUCGGUUGGUUAAAGACGUCUUUCAGCCGGAAAGAAAACGACACGGGUUAAUAACCUAGUGUGGAUGACGGUACCGGAAGAAGAAG